rnacentral:lncRNA from 1 species
GAAAAGGGUGGGGGUAACCUUAGUGAAAACCCGAAAGGGCGCUGAGGUAGGGUUUUGGAAUACAAGAGAAUCAGCAACAGAGAAGAAGAUGUUGAGUUCUGAAAGCUGGUGACUAUGUUGAUUUGGGUCUCUUUCAUACUGUUGUUCUUUUGCCGACAAUAAAUUCCAAAAUGGAUGACUACGAAAGGGUCAAAUGGAG